AUUGAACGCUGGCGGCAGGCUUAACACAUGCAAGUCGAGCGGAGAGAGGUAGCUUGCUACCGAUCUUAGCGGCGGACGGGUGAGUAAUGCUUAGGAAUCUGCCUAUUAGUGGGGGACAACAUUUCGAAAGGAAUGCUAAUACCGCAUACGUCCUACGGGAGAAAGCAGGGGAUCUUCGGACAUUGCGCUAAUAGAUGAGCCUAAGUCGGAUUAGCUAGUUGGGGGGGUAAAGGCCUACCAAGGGGAGGAUCUGUAGCGGGUCUGAGAGGAUGAUCCGCCACACUGGGACUGAGACACGGCCCAGACUCCUACGGGAGGCAGCAGUGGGGAAUAUUGGACAAUGGGCGGAAGCCUGAUCCAGCCAUGCCGCGUGUGUGAAGAAGGCCUUAUGGUUGUAAAGCACUUUAAGCGAGGAGGAGGCUACUUUAGUUAAUACCUAGAGAUAGUGGACGUUACUCGCAGAAUAAGCACCGGCUAACUCUGUGCCAGCCGCCGCAGUAACAC
rnacentral:rRNA from 1 species